rnacentral:rRNA from 1 species
UACAGAGGUCUCAAGCGUUGUUCGGAUUCAUUGGGCGUAAAGGGUGCGUAGGCGGCGCGGUAAGUCGGGUGUGAAAUUUCGAGGCUUAACUUCGAAACUGCAUUCGAUACUGCCGUGCUUGAGGACUGGAGAGGAGACUAGAAUUUACGGUGUAGCGGUGAAAUGCGUAGAUAUUGGGAAGAACACCGGUGGCGAAGGCGGCCAUCUGGACCGGAACUGACGCUGAGGCGCGAAAGCCAGGGGAGCGAAUGGG